rnacentral:tRNA from 1 species
GACUUAAUACUUUAAAUUAAAAGAUCUGAUUUGCAUUCAGAAAAUAGGCUAUAUGGCUUUUAGGUCA